UACGUAGGGCGCAAGCGUUGUCCGGAAUUAUUGGGCGUAAAGCGCUCGUAGGCGGCUUGUCACGUCGGGUGUGAAAGCCCGGGGCUUAACCCCGGGUCUGCAUUCGAUACGGGCUAGCUAGAGUGUGGUAGGGGAGAUCGGAAUUCCUGGUGUAGCGGUGAAAUGCGCAGAUAUCAGGAGGAACACCGGUGACGAAGGCGGAUCUCUGGGCCAUUACUGACGCUGAGGAGCGAAAGCGUGGGGAGCAAACAGG
rnacentral:rRNA from 1 species